AGAAGGAGUAACCUAUGAAGCUGGUAGCUUCUAAAGCUUUUAGAGAUACAAAAAACAUUAACUAAAAAUUUGAAUGUAAUUCUCUGGUUUUGAUGAUAUAACCACAACGGGAAAUCGUUGUGACACCACAGCUUCUGUAAUACUUGUGGCAACCUCCAUUCCCAGGGUUUUCCCCUCGACGUCAGGGUUGGGCAAAAUCAACGUAUAAGAACGUUGCAAAAGCAUAUUCUUAGAUAUACAAAUAACAGCAAAUCAUUAUACGAUUUGUUAUGCAAAUAACUAAUGAAUAUAAACUAAACACUGUUCCAGAACACCGUGUGCACUCCAUUUCAUAUCGUUCCAGAACAGUGUUCCAAAUGUUCUGGAACAGUAAAUGGAGCAGCCUCAAGACUCCUCCGUGCGUGCGGUACAACUUGAAUAUUUAGGACGAUACAUGCACCACUUACUGCCACCACCCACUGGUAUUCUGCUUUAUAGUAAAAUACUCAUAUUUUAUGUGUUGCAGUAAUUUAUAGCAGGCACAUUAUAAAUGUUAUACAAUUAAUUAAAGAUCUUUCAUUAGCAUUGCUAUUAUUGCCUAUUGGGCAAGAAGAACAAUCCAGUUUAAAAUCCAGCUAAUAGAAAAAUACUUUCUACUAAUUAUAAACUUAAAUACCUUAAUACCUAAUGAGCCGUCCAGGUUUGGCUAACCGCUAACGCGCGAGUCUGAAGAGAGAUUUUGUAAAACUUUAAUUUAUUAACUUCAGCUAUAUUUUACUUU